rnacentral:rRNA from 1 species
CCUACGGGAGGCAGCAGUAGGGAAUCUUCCGCAAUGGGCGAAAGCCUGAUGGAGCAACGCCGCGUGGGUGAAGAAGGUCUUCGGAUCGUAAAACCCUGUUGUUAGAGAAGAAAGUGCGUGAGAGUAACUGUUCACGUUUCGACGGUAUCUAACCAGAAAGCCACGGCUAACUCCGUGCCAGCAGCCGCGGUAAUACGUAGGUGGCAAGCGUUAUCCGGAUUUAUUGGGCGUAAAGGGAACGCAGGCGGUCUUUUAAGUCUGAUGUGAAAGCCUUGGGCUUAACGGGGGUAGUGCAUUGGAAACUGGGAGACUGGAGUGUAGAAGAGGAGAGUGGAACUCCAGGUGUAGGGGUGAAAUGCGUAGAUAUAUGGAAGAACACCAGUGGCGAAAGCGACUCUCUGGUAUGUAACUGACGCUGAGGUGCGAAAGCGUGGGUAGCAAACAGGAUUAGAUACCCUUGUAGUC